UAAAGAGUCAUGGAGGUAGAGCACUGUUUGGACUAGGGGCCCUUCUCGGGUUACCGAAUUCAGAUAAACUCCGAAUGCCAUGUACUUAUACUCGGGAGUCAGACUGCGAGUGAUAAGAUCCGUAGUCGAAAGGGAAACAGCCCAGACCACCAGUUAAGGUCCCCAAAUAUAUGUUAAGUGGAAAAGGAUGUGGGGUUGCUUAGACAACCAGGAUGUUGGCUUAGAAGCAGCCACCAUUGAAAGAGUGCGUAAUAGCUCACUGGUCGAGUGACCCCGCGCCGAAAAUGUACCGGGGCUAAACAUAUUACCGAAACUGUGGAUGAACCUCUUUAGAGGUUCGUGGUAGGAGAGCGUUCUAAGGGCGGUGAAGUCAGACCGGAAGGACUGGUGGAGCGCUUAGAAGUGAGAAUGCCGGUAUGAGUAGCGAAAGAAGGGUGAGAAUCCCUUCCACCGAAUAUCUAAGGUUUCCUGAGGAAGGCUCGUCCGCUCAGGGUUAGUCGGGACCUAAGCCGAGGCCGAUAGGCGUAGGCGAUGGACAACAGGUAGAGAUUCCUGUACCAGUGCUAAUUGUUUAACCGAUGGGGUGACACAGAAGGAUAGGGAAUCGCACGAAUGGAAAUGUGCGUCCAAGCAGUGAGUGUGAGAAGUAGGCAAAUCCGCUUCUCGCGAAGCAUGAGCUGUGAUGGGGAAGGAAAUUAAGUACGGAAGUUCCUGAUUUCACGCUGUCAAGAAAAGCCUCUAGGAAGAGUAGUACUGCCCGUACCGCAAACCGACACAGGUAGAUGAGGAGAGAAUCCUAAGGUGAGCGAGAGAACUCUCGUUAAGGAACUCGGCAAAAUGACCCCGUAACUUCGGGAGAAGGGGUGCUCUAUUAGGGUGCAAGCCCGAGAGAGCCGCAGUGAAUAGGCCCAGGCGACUGUUUAGCAAAAACACAGGUCUCUGCAAAACCGUAAGGUGACGUAUAGGGGCUGACGCCUGCCCGGUGCUGGAAGGUUAAGAGGAGUGCUUAGCUUCGGCGAAGGUACGAAUUGAAGCCCCAGUAAACGGCGGCCGUAACUAUAACGGUCCUAAGGUAGCGAAAUUCCUUGUCGGGUAAGUUCCGACCCGCACGAAAGGCGCAACGAUCUGGGCACUGUCUCAACGAGAGACUCGGUGAAAUUAUAGUACCUGUGAAGAUGCAGGUUACCCGCGACAGGACGGAAAGACCCCGUGGAGCUUUACUGCAACCUGAUAUGGAAUGUUUGUACCGCUUGUACAGGAUAGGUAGGAGCCGAAGAGACGUGUGCGCUAGCAUACGAGGAGGCAAUGGUGGGAUACUACCCUGGCUGUAUGACCAUUCUAACCCGCCACGCUUAGCGCGUGGGGAGACAGUGUCAGGUGGGCAGUUUGACUGGGGCGGUCGCCUCCUAAAGAGUAACGGAGGCGCCCAAAGGUUCCCUCAGAAUGGAUGGAAAUCAUUCGCAGAGUGUAAAGGCACAAGGGAGCUUGACUGCGAGACUGACAAGUCGAGCAGGGACGAAAGUCGGGCUUAGUGAUCCGGUGGUUCCGCAUGGAAGGGCCAUCGCUCAACGGAUAAAAGCUACCCCGGGGAUAACAGGCUUAUCUCCCCCAAGAGUCCACAUCGACGGGGAGGUUUGGCACCUCGAUGUCGGCUCGUCGCAUCCUGGGGCUGUAGUCGGUCCCAAGGGUUGGGCUGUUCGCCCAUUAAAGCGGCACGCGAGCUGGGUUCAGAACGUCGUGAGACAGUUCGGUCCCUAUCCGUCGCGGGCGCAGGAAAUUUGAGAGGAGCUGUCCUUAGUACGAGAGGACCGGGAUGGACACACCGCUGGUGUACCAGUUGUUCCGCCAGGAGCAUCGCUGGGUAGCUAUGUGUGGCAGGGAUAAACGCUGAAAGCAUCUAAGCGUGAAGCCCCCCUCAAGAUGAGAUUUCCCAUUUCUUCGGAAAGUAAGAUCCCUGAAAGAUGAUCAGGUAGAUAGGUUUGGAGUGGAAGUGUAGCGAUACAUGGAGCGGACAAAUACUAAUCGAUCGAGGACUUAACCAAAA
rnacentral:rRNA from 1 species